rnacentral:lncRNA from 1 species
CUACCACCAGCUCAUCAAAGAGGGAACGCUAGGCUAGGCUACCACCAGUCCACUCCUUGAUAAUCUUAUACCCAUAAUGACCAGAGAUGAAAUGUCCAUUGAGACUGAGGGGGCAACGAGACACUGCUUUAGUGGGGGUAAGGUCACACAGUUUGUAUCUCAAAUGGCAGCCUAUUCCCUACAUUUGGGGUUCUUAAACUUUUUCAGCCUGAGACCCAAAUGAGAAACUGACCAUCCUCCCAUGACCAAAAUAAGAAAAAAAUACUGUGUGAUAAUCUACCACUUUGGGAGUCGUUAUUAUUUAUAUUAGUCUCCAUAAGGAAUAGAAACGAGUGGCACAUCUAUAACAUAUUUACUACAACAUCAUGAAUUCUGUGUUAUGUGGUGAUCUCCCAGAGUCCUGUGUGUUGAUCUCCCAGAGUCCUGUGUGUUGAUCUCCCAGAGUCCUGUGUGUCGAUCUCCCAGAGUCCUGUGUGUCGUUCUCCCAGAGUCCUGUGUGUCGUUCUCCCAGAGUCCUGUGUGUCGAUCUCCCAGAGCCCUGUGUGUCGUUCUCCCAGAGUCCUGUGUGUCGAUCUCCCAGAGUCCUGUGUGUAGUUCUCCCAGAGUCCUGUAGCCUGCUCACCAUCACCUCUUAUCACAUCACACUGGCCAUGGAACACCUCCGAUCCAAAAUGGAAGCCAGUUUCCUCCUCCUCCCACUCAUUCCUUAUGACACCAACUGCCACCUGCAUUACUGGUUUGGGACCUGACAUUAGACAGACAGUAAAUGAUCUGGGGUCUGUGUUCCAGGUGGUGCACUGUGACCUACGAUCAUUUCUUACAGACAGUAACCCAUACACACAGCUACAGAACAUUUAUUAGUCCUGAUCUCUGACCUGUACUUACAGGU